UGCGGACCCAUGUUGGCUGAAGCGCCCAGUUUGUGCGUUCAGAUCUGGGAGGAUUUCAUCAAGGAUUAGGCACCUCGGAGGUUACAAAGGAGAAAAUGGGCACACCCAGGACUAAAUCCUUCUCCAAAGGUCAGAGGUGAAAUAGGACUUCUGAUUUUGUGGGGAAACAGAACAAAAAAAUGCUUGUUUGCAAAUAAACAUCUGAAAGAGUAUAGUAACAGCUGAUCUGGGCCGAGGCAUCAAAACAA